ensembl:lncRNA
CUCAGGCCUGAAAGCACGAGACUGAUAUAUUCUGGCUGCUGUAUUUCGUUAAGCUGUAGACAGUGAAGAUAAGUGAAAAGUUGAAGUGUGAGGAUUUUUGUGUGUGUGUUUGUUUGCCGUCGCCGCUGCUAUUCCUCGCGUGCUGCCAAAGCGCGGAGGGAGCGUGUGUAAUUUGGCUGCAGGAAGAGCGGCAGAAAACAAUUAUGUGCACGAAGUGGCCACGGAGAUGAGGCAAUCGGCGCACGUGGUAAUGGAGAGGACAGUUGACACACAGGCUUUAUCCUGCUCUGGUGGUCUAUCCUUAUCUGCAAACCGCAGUUCUCUGAAGACCAGGAGUAUGUUGUGACUUCCUGAAAAUCAUCAAGUGUUUGUUUCAGUGGAUUAUGCUUGAUGCCCAGCCAAUUCAGGAGCAAUUCAAUCUUCAGAAUUUCAGAUGUUGCAUGCAGUGGUGCUGCAGUGUGUCUAACGGAUUUCCAGUUGACUGGCAUGUUUUGACAUCCGUAUAUAUCAGGCUCUCUAAACUGGAAAUAGGGAUGGAAAUGUGUCCCUCCACGACUCAUCCAGCACCAUGUGUUAUAUUUCCAGCAGUCAUGCUGAGCUCCAACCCCUCCGCUCACUUCCAUCACUGUAGGGCAGUGGCAGGUGGCUUUGCCCACCACUCUAGCACCUUCCCGGGGGAGCAAUCAGGGGCUCUGCAGGGCCAGACACCCAGACACCACAGUCAGUGUAAAGAGCGGAGUGGAGCUGACAUGACAGCGAGGUGACACGUCUGCCUGUGGCACAGGUGCUGUGAGACAGCCGAGGGGUCAGAGGUCACAGGAUUCCAAACCACUGAUUAAAGAGAUGGGACUGACAUGAGGUGAAGUUAGAAGCCACAUACAGCUGAGAACCUCUCUCUCGCUCUGUCUAAUCCUGGUGGGAAUAAUGUAACAAGGAAUUCAUGUUAUGGAAUUCAUCGGUAUGCCUCAUGAGAAGCAUUUAUGUGUGCUGUUAAGAAAGAACAAAGUGUUUUUAGUCCG